rnacentral:rRNA from 1 species
CCUACGGGCGGCUGCAGUGAGGAAUAUUGGUCAAUGGACGAGAGUCUGAACCAGCCAAGUAGCGUGAAGGAUGACUGCCCUAUGGGUUGUAAACUUCUUUUAUAAGGGAAUAAAACGAGGCACGUGUGCCUUUUUGCAUGUACUUUAUGAAUAAGGAUCGGCUAACUCCGUGCCAGCAGCCGCGGUAAUACGGGGGAUCCGAGCGUUAUCCGGAUUUAUUGGGUUUAAAGGGAGCGUAGAUGGGUUGUUAAGUCAGUUGUGAAAGUUUGCGGCUCAACCGUAAAAUUGCAAUUGAUACUGGCAGUCUUGAGUACAGGUGAGGUAGGCGGAAUUCGUGGUGUAGCGGUGAAAUGCUUAGAUAUCACGAAGAACCCCGAUUGCGAAGGCAGCUUACUAAACUGUGACUGACAUUGAUGCUCGAAAGUGUGGGGAUCAAACAGGAUUAGAUACCCCUGUAGUC